rnacentral:rRNA from 1 species
AUUGAACGCUGGCGGAAUGCUUUACACAUGCAAGUCGAACGGUAGAGGGGGCAACCCCUUGAGAGUGGCGAACGGGCGAGUAAUAUAUCGGAACGUGCCCAGUCGUGAGGGAUAACGUAGCGAAAGUUACGCUAAUACCGCAUACGAUCUACGGAUGAAAGCGGGGGACUCGCAAGAGCCUCGCGCGAUUGGAGCGGCCGAUAUCAGAUUAGGUAGUUGGUGGGGUAAAGGCUCACCAAGCCAACGAUCUGUAGCUGGUCUGAGAGGACGACCAGCCACACUGGAACUGAGACACGGUCCAGACUCCUACGGGAGGCAGCAGUGGGGAAUUUUGGACAAUGGACGCAAGUCUGAUCCAGCCAUUCCGCGUGCAGGAUGAAGGCCCUCGGGUUGUAAACUGCUUUUGUACGGAACGAAAGGUUUCUAUUAAUACUAGGAGCUCAUGUCGGUACCGUAAGAAUAAGCACCGGCUAACUACGUGCCAGCAGCCGCGGUAAAGUG